rnacentral:tRNA from 1 species
CUGGGGGUUGUAUAAGUUGGAAGUACGUAAGGUUUUGGGCCUUGUAGUGGAGGUUCGAGUCCUGUUCCCCAGG